UACAGAGGGGGCUAGCGUUGUUCGGAGUCACUGGGCGUAAAGCGCGCGUAGGCGGCCUGUUAAGUUGGAUGUGAAAGCCCGGGGCUCAACCUCGGAUGCGCAUCCGAGACUGGCGGGCUCGAGGCCGGGAGAGGGCGGCGGAAUUCCCAGUGUAGAGGUGAAAUUCGUAGAUAUUGGGAAGAACACCGGUGGCGAAGGCGGCCGCCUGGCCCGGAACUGACGCUGAGGCGCGAAAGCGUGGGGAGCAAACAGG
rnacentral:misc_RNA from 1 species